GACGAACGCUGGCGGCGUGCCUAAUACAUGCAAGUUGAGCGCUGAAGGUUGGUACUUGUACCAACUGGAUUAGCAGCGAACGGGUGAGUAACGCGUGGGGAAUCUGCCUUUGAGCGGGGGACAACAUUUGGAAACGAAUGCUAAUACCGCAUAACAACUUUAAACACAAGUUUUAAGUUUGAAAGAUGCAAUUGCAUCACUCAAAGAUGAUCCCGCGUUGUAUUAGCUAGUUGGUGAGGUAAAGGCUCACCAAGGCGAUGAUACAUAGCCGACCUGAGAGGGUGGUCGGCCACACUGGGACUGAGACGCGGCCCAAACUCCUACGGGAGGCAGCAGUAGGGAAUCUUCGGCAAUGGACGAAAGUCUGACCGGGCAACGCCGGGGGAGUGAAGAAGGUUUUCGGAUCGUAAAACUCUGUUGGUAGAGAAGAACGUUGGUGGGAGUGGAAAGCUCAUCAAGUGACGGUAACUAACCAGAAAGGGACGGCUAACUACGUG
rnacentral:rRNA from 1 species